rnacentral:rRNA from 1 species
AUUGAACGCUGGCGGCAGGCUUAACACAUGCAAGUCGAGCGGGGAGAUGUAGCUUGCUACAUUUCCUAGCGGCGGACGGGUGAGUAAUGCUUAGGAAUCUGCCUAUUAGUGGGGGGACAACAUUCCGAAAGGAAUGCUAAUACCGCAUACGCCCUACGGGGGGAAAAGCAGGGGAUCUUCGGACCUUGCGCUAAUAGAUGAGCCUAAGUCAGAUUAGCUAGUUGGUGGGGUAAAGGCCUACCAAGGCGACGAUCUGUAGCGGGUCUGAGAGGAUGAUCCGCCACACUGGGACUGAGACACGGCCCAGACUCCUACGGGAGGCAGCAGUGGGGAAUAUUGGACAAUGGGCGAAAGCCUGAUCCAGCCAUGCCGCGUGUGUGAAGAAGGCCUUUUGGUUGUAAAGCACUUUAAGCGAGGAGGAGGCUACUUAGAUUAAUACUCUAGGAUAGUGGACGUUACUCGCAGAAUAAGCACCGGCUAACUCUGUG